GAUGAACGCUAGCGACAGGCUUAACACAUGCAAGUCGAGGGGCAGCACAGGUAGCAAUACCGGGUGGCGACCGGCGCACGGGUGAGUAACGCGUAUGCAACUUACCUAUCAGAGGGGGAUAACCCGGCGAAAGUCGGACUAAUACCGCAUGAAGCAGGGGUCCCGCAUGGGGAUAUUUGCUAAAGAUUCAUCGCUGAUAGAUAGGCAUGCGUUCCAUUAGGCAGUUGGCGGGGUAACGGCCCACCAAACCGACGAUGGAUAGGGGUUCUGAGAGGAAGGUCCCCCACAUUGGUACUGAGACACGGACCAAACUCCUACGGGAGGCAGCAGUGAGGAAUAUUGGGCAAUGGCCGAGAGGCUGAACCAGCCAAGUCGCGUGAGGGAUGAAGGUUCUAUGGAUCGUAAACCUCUUUUAUAAGGGAAUAAAGUGCGGGACGUGUCCCGUUUUGUAUGUACCUUAUGAAUAAGGAUCGGCUAACUCCGUG
rnacentral:rRNA from 1 species